UGAGUUACGUUAAUUUUAUUUAUAUAAUUUUUUGUUUGUUUGUUUUACUUUAAGCAUGCUGUCCCUAGUGAUUUUGAUGUUCCAGAAACACCUACCUUUCAAAAUCCAGUUAUUUUAAAUGCAUGUUUGUAAUGGUUUGCAUAAAUAUUUUUAUAACAUAAAACUUAGUUUUAAUAACUUGAUUAUGCUUGUUCCUCUUUAGAAUGACAUGCCAGCUUUGAGGAAGUGGUGGUGUAUAAUGUUGCUUGAGAACUCAAGCCCCAAGGGGAAAUACUCACAUUGGACUGAGUUAGCAAAUGCCCUUCUAAAUGAUGACCAAGAACAUAAGAAAAAAUUAGAAGGUACAGAAA